rnacentral:rRNA from 1 species
GGUGACGAGUGGCGGACGGGUGAGUAAUGUCUGGGAAACUGCCUGAUGGAGGGGGAUAACUACUGGAAACGGUAGCUAAUACCGCAUAACGUCGCAAGACCAAAGAGGGGGACCUUCGGGCCUCUUGCCAUCAGAUGUGCCCAGAUGGGAUUAGCUAGUAGGUGGGGUAACGGCUCACCUAGGCGACGAUCCCUAGCUGGUCUGAGAGGAUGACCAGCCACACUGGAACUGAGACACGGUCCAGACUCCUACGGGAGGCAGCAGUGGGGAAUAUUGCACAAUGGGCGCAAGCCUGAUGCAGCCAUGCCGCGUGUGUGAAGAAGGCCUUCGGGUUGUAAAGCACUUUCAGCGGGGAGGAAGGGGGUAAGGUUAAUAACCUUAUUCAUUGACGUUACCCGCAGAAGAAGCACCGGCUAACUCCGUGCCAGCAGCCGCGGUAAUACGGAGGGUGCAAGCGUUAAUCGGAAUUACUGGGCGUAAAGCGCACGCAGGCGGUCUGUCAAGUCGGAUGUGAAAUCCCCGGGCUCAACCUGGGAACUGCAUUCGAAAC